GGAUCAGUAUGUUGGUCGUGCUUUGGUACGUACUGUCAUUACUGGUUUCUCCCUUCUGAAGAACCUUGAUGUCAUUAAUUUGGUGUCUUGGGGAAUCAGGACUGUUACUUUGAAAAAAUUAGAGUGUUUAAAGCGGGCAUACGCUUGAAUACAUUAGCAUGGAAUAAUGAAAUAGGACGUUUGAUCUUAUUUUGUUGGUUUCUAAGAUCGACGUA
rnacentral:misc_RNA from 1 species